AUUGAACGCUGGCGGCAGGCCUAACACAUGCAAGUCGAGCGGAUGAAGGGAGCUUGCUCCUGGAUUCAGCGGCGGACGGGUGAGUAAUGCCUAGGAAUCUGCCUGGUAGUGGGGGAUAACGUCCGGAAACGGGCGCUAAUACCGCAUACGUCCUGAGGGAGAAAGUGGGGGAUCUUCGGACCUCACGCUAUCAGAUGAGCCUAGGUCGGAUUAGCUAGUUGGUGGGGUAAAGGCCUACCAAGGCGACGAUCCGUAACUGGUCUGAGAGGAUGAUCAGUCACACUGGAACUGGGACACGGACCAGACUCCUGCGGGAGGCAGCAGUGGGGAAUAUUGGACAAUGGGCGAAAGCCUGAUCCAGCCAUGCCGCGUGUGUGAAGAAGGUCUUCGGAUUGUAAAGCACUUUAAGUUGGGAGGAAGGGCAGUAAGUUAAUACCUUGCUGUUUUGACGUUACCAACAGAAUAAGCACCGGCUAACUUCGUG
rnacentral:rRNA from 1 species